rnacentral:tRNA from 1 species
CGGGGCGUGGCUCAGUUUGGUUAGAGCACUGGCUUUGGGAGCCAGGGGUCAGGAGUUCGAAUCUCCUCGCCCCGACCA